UGAUUAGUUUAGUUUGUGAUUUCAAUAUAUGUAAUUAAUUUUUGUUUCUGUAGCGGCUCGGGACGGACGCGUCGCGACGUACGCUCGUUCGCAACAAUCAUUGAGCACUUGCUGGAAGCUUGUUGCGAAGACAACAACGUCAACAGAUCCAACACCAAAAACUACCUCCAGCUGUACAAAUAUUUCAAAAACAACA